rnacentral:lncRNA from 1 species
CUUUGACAUCUGUUGUUUAUUUUACACUCACAACCCAUGUUAAUUUAUACUACCUGUAUUUCAAGUGCUCAGUAGUCAUACAUGGCUUGAGGUUACUGUAUUAGACAGUGAAGGUCUAAACAUUUUUGUAUGCUAAAAGACUUCAUAAUAUAAAUAUUUAAAAAACUAAAUUACUAUAAUAAAACAUUUUAAAUAUGCUUAUACAUAUACUUACAUAAAUAAUCUUAGCAUGGGAGAGAAUUUUAAAGCAAAAUAGAUACACAAACUCACAAAUAACUUAAUGGAAAAAGGCACAUAGACAGCUUACAUACAUGUGAAAAGAUACUCAGCCUUAUCCAUAACUAACUAAAUAAAAACAAACACAAUUUUUUAAAUCAACUUUCCAGGCAUAAUAAAAGUGUUAGGAGGAUUGUAAAGGUAUAGUAACAUGGGGGCCCUCAUGUAGAGCUGGUGGGUCACUAUGUUUAGUGGGGAGUUAUUAUUCCAUUCUAGUACAGAUAGGUAUAAAAUUCCAGGCUGAAUUUUUUUAUUUCAACAUUUUAAAUGUUUGACUGCAUUCCUCUUUCUUGCAUGGAUUUUGACAGAAAACCUACUGUAAUUCUUUUCUUUAUUCCUCUAUAGAUAGGGUAUUUAUUUUUUCUGGCUUCUUUUGAGAUUUAUUUUCUUUGCCUUUGAUUUUAUGUAGUUUGAUUAUGAUACUUCUAAAUGAAGGUUUUCAGUAUUUAAUCUGUUUGAUGCUUUCUGAGUUAGCUCGACCUGUGGUUUGAUGUCUAUUGUAACUUUGGAAAACUCUUGGCUGGGCAUGGUGGCUCAUGCCUGUAAUCCUAGAACUUUUGGAGGCCAAGACAGAAGAAUCACUUAAGGCCAGAAAUUUGAGACCAGCCUGGGCAACAUUGUGAGACCCCAUCUAAAAAAAAAACAAUUAGAGAGACAUGGUGGUGCCCACGUUUAGUUGGACCUGCUAGGGAGGCUGAGAUGGAAGGAUUGCCUGAGCCUAGGAGUUCAAGGGUGCAGUGAGCUAUGAUGGUUCCAUAGCACUGCAGCCUGGGUGACAGAGUGAGACCCUGUCUCAAAGAAAAAUUUAAUGAAAAUUCUUGGCAUUAUAAUUUAAUAUUUUUCCUGCUCUGUUCUCUACUUUUUCCUCCUGGUAUUCCAGAUAUUCCUGGUAUGUCUAUCUCACAUAUUUGGAUAUUAUCCUAUAAUUCUUGGAUGUUCAUUUGUGUUCUUAAUUUUUUUCAUUAAUUUUUGGCAUGUCUUGUACCUUUUUCACUGAACACUAGACAUGUUGUAUUGAGUAAUAGUCACUAAAGAACACAGGCUAUUAGUGUAAGGAUUUGUGUUAAUCUCUUUGGCCUCCCAAGAAGAAGGCUGUAACAGUUAAAUCCACCCCAGUGUAUUUACCUUUUAACUGCAGACGCUAGAGGCUUUAAAUUGCUCCUCUGUCCUUAUCUUUUUCUCCCCUCCUGACUCUGGGCUCUCCUGGAUGCUUUUCUUAGGGGGAGUCUGUAGCUCUUCAAGCUGUAGUCCACUGUUAUUACACAGGAACCCUGUUGGUGCAGUGGUGAGGAGUAGAGAUGGGCAAGCAUUGGAAUCUAUAAUCCUAUGACUGAGUCUCAGCCUUUUACUGUGUCCGUGUCCCUGGGCUGUGACCUUCACAGUCUUUUUUGUCUUCCUAGCUGAGACAGCAAGGCUGGAGGGGGCUAGAGUGGGAGCAAUGCCCCUGCUCCACCUGGGAUGAUGCUUUAGCAAAGUUUUUCACCUUGGGGAGCAGUCUAUUGUUAUGGAGAAUGCUCUGGGGUUAUUUCACAAUAAUUUUACAGAUCACUUUCUCCUGUCAGAGACAUGAGGAGUCUUUUUUUCUUUUUAAUCUUUACUAUGGGAACCUCAUGAGAUGCUUGGAGGUAAAACUCAAGAAAGCUUGAAGGAGCCGUCACGCUGCAACAUCCAGGACUUUAAUCACUCUCCAGUAGUCCACAAAGCCUCCAGCAAUUUGUCAAAAUUGUUAUUGAGAUAUUCCUACCAGUUUUGGCUCCAGCGCUUUCAGUGGCUUCAGAGAUUUCAGAUCUUGGCCAACAGGCCUCAGCCAUGAUUCUCUGGAUUCCCCUGUUUCUUUGGAUUUUGGGGGGGCAGUUUGCUCUACAGCUCAUUUUGUUGAUGGUAACAAGAAAAGUUAUUGAUGUUUAAUUUGUUCUGAUUUUUUUAAUUGUAAGGAUUAGGGUGAUUAAAUUCAAGCAUUUUAUAGGAACUGAAACCGGAAGUCUUCUAUAGUUUCCUUUAAAAAAUGUUCAUGUCACCAAUUUCUCUACAAGUUACAUUGAUAAAAGGAGGGAUGAAAGAAUUUUUUUUUUGUUGUUGUUAUUUUGUUUUUGAAAAUCAAGAACUAAUAUUUCAGAAGAUCAGGUCUAUUUUCCAUCUGAAUAUAAGCAGGUAGGGAAAUUGCAAUAGCAUAGAAUUAACUUGUCUUUCACUUACAGAAGUUUGACAUAACCCAAGACAACAUGUUCGUUAAAUUUCAUAGAUGCAAAAGAGAGAAUGUGAGUUGAAAUUAUUUUUUUCUAAAUGCUUUCUAUAUAUUUGUUUCUCUAAGAUCUUAAUCAUUCAUUAAUAAUGUUUAGUUUCUAAGAUUUCUCACUAAAGCUUGCUUUACUUUCUAAGUUUGUAAUUUUAAAUUCAGGCAGUUUAAAUCCUUUGGAACAUAUUUAUAAAAGUAUCCAACAAAAUCAAUUAGAGAAUGAAUAUUUUCAUGUCCUGAUCUGUAAACAGUUAAAUGUCAAAUUUUUCCAAAACAAACAAACAAAAACAAACAAACAAAGAAAUCGCCUUUGAGUAAAAACUGACAAUGGAAAAUUUCAACCAAAGGAAAAUUAUUCAUAAAAUUCAAGUGUCUUCAAAUUAAAGCUUAUAGUGGAAACUGUUUCACAACAUUAAUUAUAUUGACCAUCCUCCCCAAUGUUUAUAAUGGGUUGCAAUAUGUAAACUCAAUGAGAAAAGCCAAGUACAAAAUGUCAGGCCUAAAACCACAUAAAGGCUCUUAAUAAUUUUUCUAAUUUCUGUUCCCCUGCAGGCUUCUGUUGCAAAACAUAGAAGUCUUCUGCAAGCAGCUGCCACGCCCAUAUCUCAGAGCCCUAGUGAGUUGUAGAGAAGUUUCAAGAGUUAGAGUAUUUCCUCUGUACAGUAACUAAAAUAAUAAAAGACCACAAUUUUUAUUCAUAAAAAUUGAAUAUAAUAAAUGCAUUUUUAUUUGGGAGCUCAUUAGUGCCUUAGUCACAGAUUGGAUAUACUUGUGUCUGUAUCUGUGCCUGUGUUUGCCCUGAGGCUUAUAAAUCAAGAGAUAAUUAUUGGUCCAAAGGAAAACAGUAUGUGCACUGGGGAAAUCUGUGCUAUUCUCAACUGCUGCUAUUCUCCAGCCUUUCCUCAGUUCCAGUUCAGAUGGAUGCUUGAGCCCAGAACUCACUUUUCUAGCUCUAGUCUGAAAGGGAAUUUUGGUUUGCAAAUGGAAAGGGCAAUUGGAUUCAUAAGCCAUAGCCACUUAUCAGACACUUACUGUUUGCCAAAAAACAACCUCAUUUGCUUUCCAUCUUUAUCCUUACUAUAAUUCAAGGGGAUAAAUAUUAUCCUUCCUCUUUUAAAGAUGCCUACUAACUCUUAGGGACUGCUCUUAACUGAUUCAACAUCCUUCUGGUGGGGAGAGAGUGCCUGGGAAAAGCAAAUGAAAGGACUGUAAAAGGGAAAGGGCCAAUUCCAAAGAACAGAUGGCUGGCCCUCCAGGUGUCUUCUUGGUGAGCACCUGUUACCCUGCCAUAGCAGCCCAGUAUAGGUUUACUCAACAACUCAACAUGUAAUCAAGACAACCCUGUGAUCUUGCUGAGAUGUUCUUAUUUGUUGCCAUGGCACUAUUGGUCCUGAGGCAACUUUAAUAAAAUCAAGAUGGCACUGACUUGUAGAAACUUGGGAAAUUUCACUGUGGCUGUGAGGUUUGGCUAGAGUGUGUGGAACUAGGGCGUAGCUGUCUCCACUUCAACUCCAAAGUAGAGAUCUGGACAAGAAAGAAAGCCCCUUCCCCUAGUGCAAAAUUUUGCAAUCUCUUCAAUAGUUCACCCCACUCUCUGCCUCCAGAUACCUACAAAUCCACACCAAAUGGCUUGGUUUGGAGCAAUGUUUCUAAAAGACAUAUGAAAACUCAGUCAUAUGAGGCUGGAUGAUUACCCUGAGAGAUCAUCUCCUCCAUGCUCCUCCUUGAAAGCUUUUAGCAUUUCUUUUUUAUUUGGUCUACUCUCUGUCUGCAAACACGAAUGUUGUCUUUAUUCAUCAUCUUGACUGCAAUGGCACUGUUAGUUCCUCUACCAGCAUUGAUAGAUUAGACAAUAUAAAAAUUUCAUUUGUAAGUGUGUCAACUCUGUAAACAUGAGAACUAUAACAUUCUAUUAUAAUGGAGAAGAUUGGACUUUUAUCACCACUAUUCCAAGCAGGGGUGACAGUACCAGUUACAAGAUUCUAAAUAAAGGUGCCUCAACACAUGGAAAUAAAUACCCUGGACCAGAGGAAAUUAAAGCACAAGAAGAAAAUCAGGUCAAAAUAGGAACAAUGAAAUUAUACACACUAUAUAGGGUGACAGUAUUUGCCAUAAGUGAUUCUAAAACUUGGUUUCAAGCUUUAUGAAAAUCAAAAAAAGGCCUGACUACCAACAUAUAUGUUUGUAAGUAUCUGAAAUAAGAAAGUAUGCCAAAUGAUGAAAGGAGACAAAAACAUACUCUUCUAAUUUCUAAACAAAAUUUCUAAAAAAUUAUUAAG